ensembl:lncRNA
CAUUUGGUUCAUCCACCCCACCCCCAAAAAAGAAAUGAGGUUUUAUUCACUUUCAGUAUGAUUUAUUGCCUUAUGUUGCAACAUGUUACAAAAUGUCAUAUGCACCAUGCUCCAGUGCACAAGACAUAGCAAGACAAAAUUUGAUUUGACACCUGUGUAAUGAAUGUGAAAGACAAGUCUCCCUAAGUCAGAAGUGUAUUUUAAAAGAACAUUUCCAUCACAAUGAAUGACAAAACUGGGGGGCUGCUCUCUCCCUCUUCUCUUUCACCUUCCUCUCCCUCUGUCUGUCCCUCUCUCCUUCCUUCUCUCCCCCUCCCUUUUCAGUGAGCUUGCUGCCCAAAGUAAAACCAAAAACAGGGCUCUCUCUCAUCUUUUCACCUUACAUUUCCAUCUGAUGCAGCAGAAUGGGCGAAGGGUACCCAUGUAGGAAGAUGAGUGUUACCAUUUCAGAUUCACUCUUGGAGCCACAGAGAAGUUGCUAGAGGACUGAUAGGCAUGAAAGGAGGCUGACAUUUCAGCCUGAUUUUUUGGCACGGACAAAGAUAGAUCUUAUAGAUGUAGAACUUAUCACAAAGUAGUGCCGUAUUUGUCCAACCUGUUAGCUGUCUCAUCAGACAGACUUGUACCUGAUACCUCUUCCAGAACUAGGAUGUAUUAGAGGCUGGAUUGCUCUAAGAGACAUUAAAGAUUGAGUGGGCCAUUGCAUUAUCAAAUAGGACCUCCUGUGUAUCACAGUCUUCUUAAGUAAGCCCGAUGAGAUUAGCUGGGACAUUUAUUUUAACCUUUAUUUGUCCCUCAGUCAGGCAUCAGUUAUGCAGCAAAGCGCUGACCAUCCCAACUGGGGACAGAGGCUGCUGAUAAAUAAAUUAGAAAGGGCAAAAAUCCUCUUGACACUAUCAAUCCUGACUUCCCCAAAUCUGCACCUUAAAUUACCAUAACCCUGAGAGCACUGCCUGUAUUGUGCCCCUUCUUGCCAACAGGAGCAUCCUCCAUGACCGCUGUCACAUAUGAGACACCUGUAAACAUAACAGCUAUAUCAGGGAAAAAUGUCUUCUUGGCCUCAGUAGAAGAGCAGCUGUCAUGUCCUGCCCAUAAAUGGAGGGAUGGGGUGAACAGAGGGUUAGGUUUAGGGUUAGCCCUUGAAGCAGAAGGAGAGGAGGGGUGAACAGAGAAAUUUGCUCCUAAUCUACACUUUUCACCAUUUCAAGUUGCUUUGAGAAAUCGAAUCAUUCAUUAAAAUAUAUCAAACCACAAAAUUUUAUACAUUUGCUGAUGGUCGAGAACUUUUUUUUUUUUUUUUUUUAAUAAGCGAGUUCAAAAUUAGAUUUUACAUUAUCAUCAAUCAUUGAGGCAAAGGGCAGGGGAGCAGAUUUUCUGCUACACGAGUAAAUUUUCAUGGCAGUUUUGCAAUGCAGCAUUGUGUAUAUAAAUAGCAAGUUAAACUUGUACAUGGUUCAUGCACGGUAAGUACCAUACCAAGAUACUUAGUCUCUUUCUGAACCAGGAAGACAUUUCUCUCUCAUCAUUUUACCAAGUGCGAAAGUGAAAAAUGCCUGAGACUUACAGCUUACUGAAUCUUGAUUACAAAGAAAUGCCCAUAACACAUUACAGGUUACUUUUGAAUUAAUAUGAGUAGUCAUUAACAGACAGGCACAGAAUAUAAUGAAAAUUCCAUUGUCUGAUCACUCUAAAUGCAUCUGACAUUGUGUUUGUCGUUCUGUUUAGUUGUGUCCUUGUAAAGUAUGACGUAGAAUAUCUCUGUUAGCCUUUUACCUCAAAUUGCCUUUAAGAGCAAGGCAUGCACUUCAGUAAAACGAGGUUUUCAGCAUUAUUUAUGCCCGAUAUAUGCCUGGUAACAAAGGCACCUUUAAAAAUAUGAUAGGCUUCUUUCCCCCAACACCUGAGGAAACCACAUAACGCUUUCUCACAAAUGCCGCAUUAACCCAACUGUGGCUGCGGUUGUACACAACUGCCCAUUUCCUAAUGCAUCAUUUUUUCUGUCACCAGAACCAGGUGCUCCAGAGGACAGUGGCUAUACCGUUUGGUCCGUGCGCAGUGGGACUCGAGAAACACUGACAUAGUUGAAGACCCCAGACCCCUCUUCCCCAUAAGGAAAAUACUGUCAAGAUCCGGGACAUUCCUCAGCCUAAGCCAAGCAGUCCAGAUCCACUCAUCUGCACCCCCUGCCAGCAGCUGCCUGUGACCAGCUCACCCCGAGGACACCGGUCACGCUCGUGGUCUGAGCCUCAUAGGAGCGCAAUAGCAAUGCUGGGCUCAAUUUCCAAUGGCAGUGAAGGACACUUGGUCAGACUUGUUCAGAAACAGACAUUCUUGGGCAGAGAUUUCCUGCAAGAAUCGGAACCUCUCCACGUGGCCCCAUCUAGCAAUCCUGUGUUACACACCAUGGCCAGCAGGGGAACAUGGUGCUGGUGGCCUUCCCCUUCUUCAAAACCUUACGCACAGCUCACCAGCCAUCCUGCUCCAAGAGUCAGGACCAGCCAUGCAGUUUGUUUUAUUUCACAAUAAAUAUUUAUACAGCACUGUACAUGGGUAUCUGCAUUUUAUGUUCUUGAUUUUGCUGGGAAAAAAAAGGAAAAAAAAAAAAAGGAGUAAAGAAAUGCUCCCCGCUUCUAUGUCAUGGGAAAACAUGUGGAAAUGUAAACCUGCUGUAGGAAGCAGGCACAGUGGGAGCUGUAAUGGGAAAAAGGCAAGCAUGGUUUAUCAGCAGAAUAUGUAACAUAUACUGAACAUCCGGCUUCCCAAGUAAGUUGUUAACAGUGCUCAAUACAACUGUUUCUCUUUAAAGAAUCAGAUGUUCCUUUUUUUUCCUUUUCUUUUUCAGUACAUGCAGUAUGGUAAAAACUGGUGCCAUAAAGUCAUUGCAAGAGACAGCAAACAACUUUGUUAUCAUAAUAGGCUUUCUUUUUUUUUCUCCUUUAUUUAAACAAUGGCUCUAGCAGGUGGCAUGUGGCUGAGACCGGGUCUAUCACCAUCUCCAGGGUGCCAAGACGUCCCUUAAAGUUUCUGUGGGAGGAAUUUGUUGGUGGGAUUUGGAUUGUAAAGGCACGUGAGCAUCUGCUGCCUGCUCAGUCUCAUUACCAUUGACACAAUUAGCUCCUGCAGCUCCUGACCUGGCAGCCAGAGCCGGGACUCAAUUUUCCUGCCUCCCUGACAAUGCUCAUUGCCAUUCAUCGGAGCGCUCGGGCUCCUCUUCUCCAAGUCCAGGCCAAGGGACUGCAAAAAUGGUUUGCACAGGGACAUGCUCAGGGGUGGAGAAGCAAAGUGACAUAACAGCUACUAACAGCCUAAAAUCAAUGGCCUUAGCACGGCACCAACGAUAAACUUUCAGUGUUCAUAGUAAAGUCUGUAAGAAGGUCACUGUAUUGCAAAAAUAGCCUUAUUUGUUUUUACGCUUUUGUAUACUUUUGGUAAGUAUCUUAUAAGCUUUUUCAGUGCUUCAGAAGACGUUACAGAGUGCUACUGCUCUUAUUCCAUAAUCCCAGACACAUUCAAAGUUGUGACAAACUUUUGAUUUAUUUUGUUUUUUGUUUGUUUGUUUGUUUGUUUUGCCAUUAUGAACAGACAAACUCUACUUUCUGAUUUUGAGUUAAUUUGGAAAACAGACUAAAAAUGAGACUUUUACUCUUUAGGAUAUAGAGAAAGUCAGAGUUAAUUGACAUCUUCCUCUGACAGCCAUAGACUAAACAAAAUGUUAACACAUAUCUGCAGAUAAAGCCUUUGCAUUCCUUUAAGUGUCCUCACCCCACAUAAAACUGCAAUUAUUUUUCAUUUUCCUACAAUAGAUGCUGCCUGAUUCCUCCUUGCUGGCCCCAUGUCCUUUUACUGCUUCAAAGAACCCCUUGCCCAUAAAUGGAAAAUUAGAGAAGUCACAGUUUUUUAAAAUAAAUCACUCAGCUAAAAGAAGGGAGGCGGGGAAGGAGAAAGAGAACGAGAAUUUAAGCUGAUCUACCUCCUGAACAGAAGUAAAGGAUCUCUCUCAGUCUUUGAAUAAAGAAAACAGAAGGGCUUCAAGGCCCAAAUGUGCAGUAAUCUUACAGCUUUUGAAUGUUGCAUAGAUAGCAAGUUGUGACCUCACUGAAAAAAACUAGAUUUAAGCAGAAAUACAUUUACCACCACAUUUCUUUCCUGAGACUCUGUCUCUGCUCGCUCUUUGUAACACCAGAGGAUGGAAAAUGUCAUGCAGAGCUGGGGAUGAGGUGAGGGCAUGACAUUUAUUUUCAGAUGUUUUUAGAACUCAGAGCAGUGUUAUUGUUUCCAUAAAUCAUUACUACAGGUUUAUUUUCCUCAGCCCCCUCGCUGUCUUGUUAGGCAAAACACAAGCUGGGCAUUGCCAUCCCGCAGAGCUAAAAUGAAAGAAGCGGUCGCAUUCUGGUGAGCUUCCCAAAAUGAUGGCUGGUUCCAAGCACCGCUGUGGUUGUGCAAACCCAGAGCCUGGAGGAGAGGAGGGCCAAGGGCACUUCUCUUGCUGAUACUCAGAGUGCAUGCUUGUUUGCAGAACUGCCCCAGUUCUUGUGGCUUUGUCAUGGAAAUGUGAACCCUGAAAGAACAGUCUAUUAUGUCAAAUUACAAAUUAUAUUAUAGGGUUUUAAGUAAUUGUUUGCUUACUGUUGUCACGCACAUGUGGUUUAUUGAAAGUUGAUGUAAUCAUUUUGGCAAAUUUCCACUGGCAAGAAUCAGGCGGGGUUAACUCUGAAAUCAGCUGUUGUGGGGGCUCACACCAGGCAGUUAAUGGAUGAAAGGCUGCCACAGACACCCUUCAAAGUUAAUUUGUGCAGACCCAUUUUAGAAAUAGUGCACUAUGGCCCAACUGUAUGAAACGUAUUGUGUGUGUAUUAGUAUUCAUAAAAUUCAUUAGAACCCCAUUAGUUCAAAUGAAAGAGUUGUGUUGCUUUUGUAUUAUAAAAAUGAAAUUCUUUGUGGCCAGCAAAAAGAUAUGACGUGUACAGAGAAUAUAUCAAAAAUGUGUUUUGCUUUUCUUGAGACAUUUCAGUCUGACACAAUUUUCAUCUGUCAGAAACAUUUCUGCUUCAAUCAGAUGUCAAUUCAAUUAAAUACGCAAGACUAUUCCAAAAUAACCUUAACUUAAUGGAAUGCAUUCUCUCACCAGGCUGCAUAAACAUGGGUACACCCACAUUUUUUUUCCCCCUUUCUGAGGUCCAAAACAUCUAUGUCAGACCCUGGAACACUUCAGUAUGAUGCAAUGAAGCAGCUGGCAUUUCUUUUACAGAAAGUUUCUAAAUGAGAAAAUAGCAAUAACUGGACUGGUACUGAAGCAUGGUCCUCUUAACUCAUACACUUAUUUUCCAAACAUAACUCUGUAAACCCUGUAAUGGAGCAAGCUGCAGGCAUUAUACACAUAUAUAAAGUAUGUAUUUAUGUACAUGUAAAAUUUUUAGAGAAACAAGAAGUUUAGUGAAAAGGUCUUUGUAAUGAAUCUCCAUAAGUUACUUUUGCAAUUUUUCAGCUAUUUGUAAUAGUUGUUCAUAGGUGUCUUUUCUUUAGGGUGUCCGUGCUAGUAAGACGUUGGCAUAUUUCAGAGGAAAAUGCUUCAUCUGUUGAUUAUUAUUUUCAUUAGGGAUCACAUCAGUUGAUUUAGGGAUGCCAAAGAAUACUUCCCUCAGCUGACUAACACUGGCUUUUUUUUAUAGCUGACAAUAAGCUCCAUCUUCUUUGUUGGUAGGAGCAUAAGGAAGGAGCCUGCUGAAUGAGGUAUCCAUGCGCAUAGAUGAGUUAAUGGUUUAAUUUCAGCCAGAGUGUAUAUUACUGAAUCUAGAUCAAAUUUGGAAACUCCUUGGUGGAGACUCGUAGAUAGAAACUCCUAGAUCACAGGCAUGUCUCACAUUUGCAGCUGAUAAUAUUUUAAGGGUUUAAUUUUUGAAGUUAUAGCUUAUAUCUUUCUAACUAAGUUCUGUUCACAUUCAGUUUCUCAUUUCCACCCAGGUCAAACAGCCCUCAGCCGUGACAAGCAGCUGACUCAUUAGUAAUUCAACAUGGUUAUGGCCCAUAACUAGGACUUCAAGCAGUUAUGGCCCAUAACUAGGACUUCAAGCAGACAUUGUUCUCGUAACUAUGCUUCAAGCUUCAUUUCGGUACAUUAAAACCUGACAGGUCAGAUGGUUUGAUUUGUUUGUACCAUUAGGGAAUGUGCUGCGCUCUCUUUGGCACCAGUAGGCAGAAAGGGACAUAGAAAGUACUGUACUUGUGGGCUCACCUGGACUGGAUACAUUAACUGACUUGAUUGCACCUGUAAAGUCCACCUCCCAAGACAUCUGCCACUGGGCCAAAUUCUGCUGUCACCAAUGAAUGCAUGGGGAACACAAGUCCUCAUUUUUAAUAGGAUUAAAUGAAUGAGAUAAGCCUUUUCUCAGUGUAUGGCUCAUGAAGUGUGCCAGAUUUAUGUACCAUUUGCUAAAAUUGAGUGUAACUGAGGGAAAAUCAUUUUUAUAAAUUGAUUUGUUUCCCUGAAAUACAAUAGAGGUGUUUGCACUAUAAUUGCAACAACUCAGAUGGAGGAAUUUGUCUUUUUUUCAGAAAGAAAAAAAGGAAUAUAUAUAUAUAUGUGUGUGUAUAUAUAUACAUGAGCCUUAGCCUUAUCCAUGUGGAAAUGAGGCCAAAAUGAUUGAUUUAUAUCAACCAAGCUAUAUACCUAGUCUCAUGAUCUAUACGUUUAUGAAAUGAGAAGGAGUCUUCAUGGUGCUUUGCCUCUGACAAAUCUGAUUGUUAACUCUUCUCCAGUUCCUAAGUUUAAUUUAUGGUGCCCCCACAUCACAACAGAAAACUGGCUAACUAUUUUUCACAGAUCUUCUGUAAUGCAUGAAUUGUGAGAUUAGUUUAUUGGAGCUGAGCACCCUGGAGAUUGUCAGGUUUCCAUGAUAUAUAUACACAAAUAGAGGGGUGAGUAAGAGAGAGAAGAGAGGGAGAGAAAAGGUGUCUCUGACAUCUCAUUGUUAGCGUUAGCAUUUUGCAGGACAACCAACCUACUGUAAAAUCUACUUGCAAAAUACAUGGGGUUUUUACCUAACGUUGUAAAACCAUGGAAACCUGACAUAUUUUAAACAAAAUCCAUGCAAUGUGUAUUUAAAAU